GUGCGUGCAUGCAUGGACGGAUGGACGUACUACUAGCUUGUUGUUUGUGCCUAACGACAGUUGCAUCAAUGCUAAUCACGCCAUCGAAGAUUCGAACCCUUGAAGAGUCCGGCCACCUUGUUAUUAUUAAUAGGGUGUGGCUAUUUCUGACUCGUCCGAUUUUUAAGAAAUGAAUCUUAAAUAUCGGUUCACAUUUUAGAACGUUAGAUUAAGAUUUGAGGCCAUACUCAUUAUCUCAUCUUUCACUUGCUAUCGUUGGAUUAAGAUCCGGCGGCUAACAAGUCGACUGAUCUCUAACUACAAAAACAGACGACUUCUCAAUAGCAAAACCGUUAUUAACAAUGAUGCAACGCAAAAGGGAGAAAAAACGAAAAGAGAAAAAAAGAAAGAAGGGAAGGCUACGUAUGGAGGUUGUUUGUGUACUGUACUUGUGUGUGCUGGACCGAUCGAUCGAUGGGAUUUUUGUCGUGGAGCACGUAGACACAGUUGUGGAUGAUCGAUGGAUACGAUACACACAGCAGAUUUGUCGUGUUGAUAUAUCGGCAUCCACACGUGUGCCUGCUCGCUUGCCUUGCC
rnacentral:lncRNA from 1 species